AGCUUGCUUUCUUUGCUGACGAGUGGCGGACGGGUGAGUAAUGCUUGGGAAUCUGGCUUAUGGAGGGGGAUAACUACGGGAAACUGUAGCUAAUACCGCGUAAUAUCUUCGGAUUAAAGGGUGGGACUUUCGGGCCACCUGCCAUAAGAUGAGCCCAAGUGGGAUUAGGUAGUUGGUGGGGUAAAGGCCUACCAAGCCGACGAUCUCUAGCUGGUCUGAGAGGAUGACCAGCCACACUGGAACUGAGACACGGUCCAGACUCCUACGGGAGGCAGCAGUGGGGAAUAUUGCACAAUGGGGGGAACCCUGAUGCAGCCAUGCCGCGUGAAUGAAGAAGGCCUUCGGGUUGUAAAGUUCUUUCGGUGAUGAGGAAGGCGGUUGUUUUAAUAGAACAAUCGAUUGGCGUUAGUCACAGAAGAAGCACCGGCUAACCCCGUGCCAGCAGCCGCGGUAAUACGGAGGGUGCGAGCGUUAAUCGGAAUGACUGGGCGUAAAGGGCACGCAGGCGGUGACUUAAGUGAGAUGUGAAAGCCCCGAGCUUAACUUGGGAAUUGCAUUUCAUACUGGGUCGCUAGAGUAUUUUAGGGAGGGGUAGAAUUCCCCGUGUAGCGGUGAAAUGCGUAGAGAUGUGGAGGAAUACCGAAGGCGAAG
rnacentral:rRNA from 1 species